rnacentral:rRNA from 1 species
UACGGAGGGGGCAAGCGUUAUUCGGAAUUAUUGGGCGUAAAGGGCGCGUAGGCGGCUAGAUGUGUCGAAGGUGAAAUCCCUCGGCUCAACUGAGGAACUGCCUUUGAAACUGUCUGGCUUGAGGCCGGGAGAGGGUAGCGGAAUUCUUGGUGUAGCGGUGAAAUGCGUAGAUAUCAAGAGGAACACCUGAGGUGAAGACGGGUUGCUGGGCUGACACUGACGCUGAGGCGCGAAAGCCAGGGGAGCAAACGGG